AUUGAACGCUGGCGGCAUGCUUUACACAUGCAAGUCGAACGGCAGCGCGGGCUUCGGCCUGGCGGCGAGUGGCGAACGGGUGAGUAAUACAUCGGAACGUGCCCAGUAGUGGGGGAUAGCUCGGCGAAAGCCGGAUCAAUACCGCAUACGACCUGAGGGUGAAAGCGGGGAUCUUCGGACCUCGCGCUAUUGGAGCGGCCGAUGGCAGAUUAGCUAGUUGGUGGGGUAAAGGCCUACCAAGGCGACGAUCUGUAGCUGGUCUGAGAGGACGACCAGCCACACUGGGACUGAGACACGGCCCAGACUCCUACGGGAGGCAGCAGUGGGGAAUUUUGGACAAUGGGCGAAAGCCUGAUCCAGCAAUGCCGCGUGUGUGAUGAAGGCCUUCGGGUUGUAAAGCACUUUUGGCGGGAACGAAAAGGACUGUGCCAAUACCACGGUUCGAUGACGGUACCCGCAGAAUAAGCACCGGCUAACUACGU
rnacentral:rRNA from 1 species